rnacentral:snRNA from 1 species
GUGAUGGCACGAUAACUGAACAUUGAUCGCCAAAAACAGUUUAGUGUGCAGAUCUGACCAGUGGCAUGCGUCUCAACUCUAAUGGUAGUCUUUCUUCUGUGUCAUCGGUGAUCUCUCACUGCACGGCGACGGGCCGUACGCACGAUUG